UACAGAGGUCUCAAGCGUUGUUCGGAUUCAUUGGGCGUAAAGGGUGCGUAGGCGGGUCUUUAAGUCAGGGGUGAAAUCCUGGAGCUCAACUCCAGAACUGCCUUUGAUACUGAGGGUCUUGAGUCCGGGAGAGGUGAGUGGAACUGCGAGUGUAGAGGUGAAAUUCGUAGAUAUUCGCAAGAACACCAGUGGCGAAGGCGGCUCACUGGCCCGGUACUGACGCUGAGGCACGAAAGCGUGGGGAGCAAACAGG
rnacentral:rRNA from 1 species